GGCGAACGGGUGAGUAACACGUGGGUAACCUGCCCAGAAGUAGGGGAUAACACCUGGAAACAGAUGCUAAUACCGUAUAACAGAGAAAACCGCAUGGUUUUCUUUUAAAAGAUGGCUCUGCUAUCACUUCUGGAUGGACCCGCGGCGUAUUAGCUAGUUGGUGAGGUAAAGGCUCACCAAGGCAGUGAUACGUAGCCGACCUGAGAGGGUAAUCGGCCACAUUGGGACUGAGACACGGCCCAGACUCCUACGGGAGGCAGCAGUAGGGAAUCUUCCACAAUGGACGCAAGUCUGAUGGAGCAACGCCGCGUGAGUGAAGAAGGGUUUCGGCUCGUAAAGCUCUGUUGUUAAAGAAGAACGUGGGUAAGAGUAACUGUUUACCCAGUGACGGUAUUUAACCAGAAAGCCACGGCUAACUACGUGCCAGCAGCCGCGGUAAUACGUAGGUGGCAAGCGUUAUCCGGAUUUAUUG
rnacentral:rRNA from 1 species